rnacentral:ncRNA from 1 species
UUGAAAACGUUGACCGGGACGAGUACCCGCGACGCCCGUAACAGAGAGGCGGAGGCCAUUGGCUGAAAGCGCCGCCCACGAGGCUCAUGGUGAAAACCCCCCGGGAGUGGUUCCCCGAACGCCGCGGCCGGUAAGGGAACCCGGAUGGCCCCGUUAGCGGCCACCAGAGCGCGCCGGCCGUUGGGCCGCGCGGAAAUUGGGUGGAAUCGCGACGCCGUCGCCCCAUGU